CAUUCGAGGCACGGAGCGAGCAUGUUCAGUAUAAGCGAGCUCUGUUGCAUGUUUUGCUGCCCCCCGUGUCCGGGUCCCAUUGCGGCCAAGUUGGCCUUCCAGCCGCCGGAGCCCACGUACAAAUUGACCCCGGCGGACGACACCAACAUCCGGUACAACCUGCAGUUGUUCGACCGCGCCGAAUGGCAGUACUCCGAACGUGAGAAAUCGAAAGUGGAGGCCUUCUUUACGCGCACCUCGCGUGGCAACCUGAUCACCUGCAUCUAUGUCAGGUGCAGCAAGAAUGCCAAGUACACGCUGCUCUUCUCCCACGGGAAUGCAGUGGAUUUGGGCCAGAUGAGCAGCUUCUACCUGACCCUGGGCUCCCAGAUCAACUGUAAUAUCUUUGGGUACGACUACUCCGGGUACGGAAUGAGUGGCGGCAAGCCCUCCGAGAAGAAUCUGUACGCGGACAUAGAGGCAGCCUGGCAGGCGAUGAGAACCCGAUUCAACAUCAGCCCGGAGACAAUCAUCUUGUAUGGGCAGAGCAUUGGCACUGUGCCCACUGUGGACCUGGCCUCGCGUCACGAGGUCGGCGCUGUGAUACUCCAUUCGCCGCUGAUGUCCGGCCUUAGGGUCGUCUUUAGGAACACAAAGAGAACCUGGUUCUUCGACGCCUUUCCCAGCAUUGAUAAAGUGGCUAAGGUGAAGGCUCCGGUACUGGUUAUCCACGGCACCGAUGAUGAGGUCAUUGACUUUUCCCAUGGCAUCGGAAUCUACGAGCGGUGUCCUAAGACUGUCGAGCCGUUUUGGGUGGAGGGUGCUGGACAUAAUGAUGUGGAACUGCAUCCGCAUUAUUACGAGCGACUGCGCAAAUUUCUGUCGGUGGAACUCGUCAAAUGACAAUUAAAGAAUAAUGUGGACGGAGGCGUUAGCGACACUACAUCGGGCGUAAUAUCUAAUUCAAACCCUGCCGCCGGUAGUGCGUCCCUAAGUUCAAAGCACCCGAAUCCUGCCCCUGCGGCAGGAAGCGAAACAAGUAAAAAGAAUGUGGAAACAAAUGUCAAACGGAUUGAAAACGAUGGUGCCUCAAAUUCCAGCCAGAGUUCUGCUAAAGCUCUCGAGCAGAAGUUUCUUUAG
rnacentral:misc_RNA from 1 species